GCCUGGGUGGCUCAGUCGGUUGAGCGUCUGACUUCGGCUCAGGUCAUGAUCUCACAGUUCGUGGGUUUGAGCCCCGUGUCAGGCU
rnacentral:tRNA from 1 species